rnacentral:rRNA from 1 species
AGAGUUUGAUCCUGGCUCAGAGUGAACGCUGGCGGCAGGCCUAACACAUGCAAGUCGAACGGCAGCACAGGGGAGCUUGCUCCCUGGGUGGCGAGUGGCGGACGGGUGAGGAAUACAUGGGAAUCUACCCUGUCGUGGGGGAUAACGUAGGGAAACUUACGCUAAUACCGCAUACGACCGAGAGGUGAAAGCGGCGGACCGCAAGGCGUCGCGCGACUGGAUGAGCCCAUGUCGGAUUAGCUAGUUGGCGGGGUAAAGGCCCACCAAGGCGACGAUCCGUAGCUGGUCUGAGAGGAUGAUCAGCCACACUGGAACUGUGACACGGUCCAGACUCCUACGGGAGGCAGCAGUGGGGAAUAUUGGACAAUGGGCGCAAGCCUGAUCCAGCCAUGCCGCGUGUGUGAAGAAGGCCUUCGGGUUGUAAAGCACUUUUGUCCGGAAAGAAAAGCUCUCGGUUAAUACCCGGGGUCCUGACG